rnacentral:rRNA from 1 species
AUCGAACGCUGGCGGCAGGCCUAACACAUGCAAGUCGAGCGAGUGGCGGACGGGUGAGUAAUGUGUGGGGACUGCCCGAUCGAGGGGGAUAAAUACUGGAAACGGAGGCUAAUAACGCAUACUAUCGGAUAACCCAUAUGGGAUUAGCGAGUAGGUGGGGUAUAGGCUCACCUAGGCGACGAUCUCUACCUGGUCUGAGAGGAUGAACAGCCAAACUGGGACUGGGACACGGCCCAGACUCCUACGGAGGCAGCAGUGGGGAAUAUUGCACAAGGGGCGAAAGCCUGAUGAAGCAAUGCCGCGUGUAUGAAGAGUGCCUUAGGGUUGUAAAGUAUGUUCAGCGGGAAGGCGUUACCCGAAGAAGAAGCCCCGGCUAACUACGUGCCAGCAGCCGCGGUAAUAC